CUUAAAAUCAGGAAAGCGAAUAAUGUGGGCGAUGUUUAUUAUAGCCUUGCAGUCCACUUUUUUGGUAUUUUGUACCAGUUUCCGUUUCUGUAGAAAGGUAUGGUCUUCAAGCUAUGGAAGUUCCUUCUUGUCUCUUUCAGCAGCAUAUUUCUCUUUGGCUUUUGUCUGUCUGUCUUUGCCCUGGUGGCAUUCAUACGUCUUUGUGCCAACAACUUGAAACGGAACACCAUUGAACGGGAUACUUUUACUCUCCCAGCUGAGUUUUUUCCGUGCCAAAGGCUGUGCAUCUGUUAAAAAGGUCAACAAUAUGAUAUAUUACCAUUAGAAUGAUAGGCUUGUGGGGGAAACUAACAAAGUUGCUCUCUGUCAAAUAACUCAUCUGUUCUUGAAAAUGGAUCCCUUUAUGCUGAUGAUGCAUGGAGACAGAAACAUAAACCUUUUACUUUAUCAUAAAUAGACAUAAUUGCAAAUUAUUAAAUCCUUCUAAUAGGAAUAUAAAAAACAAUUUAGUUACAAAUUGAACUUUAAUUAAAUGAGUUGACUCUUCACAUGGGAUGAUUUCACUGAACAACAAAAGAAAGGGAAUAUUGAAUGAUCCACAAUGAUCCAUUCGCAUCUCCCAAAAACGUUUUCAACAUACAUCUGUAAAAUGAUAGUCUAGAAACUAAAGCUUUGGUUGUCUUCCUCUCAGGCUUCCAUGUCUUCUCCCUGGACCUCCUCAAUAUCCACCUCUUGACCAUCAGACUCUGAGGCCUCAUCUUCACUAUCACUUUCCAACCUUGUUGAGGAUGGCUCGUUGUCAGGCUCAAAAAGUCUCAAAUUUGCCCAGAUGGCCACAAAUCUUUCAACCCUUGUAUUGGUCAGCCUGUUGCGUGCUUUGGUGUGUGUGUUCCCAAACAAGGACCAACUGCACUCUGAGGCGGCUGAUGUUGGUGGGAUUUGGAGGAUGAUGGAGGCAACAGGGGAAAGAGCCUCAGACCCACAAAGUCCCUUCCAGCAGGUGGCUGAUGAGAUAUGUUGGCACGACUGCCAUAUUGCAUCUCCAUCCCAAAGCCCUUGCUAGGAAGUGUACUUCGCCAGACUGCCAAGAACAUUGCCUUCAUCCAGGCCAAGGUGACGAGACAUGGUAGUGAUGACACCAUAGGCCUUGUUGAUCGCUGCACCAGACAGGAUGCUCUUGCCCGCAUACUUGGGGUCCAACAUGUACGCUGCGGCGUGUUUGGGCUUCAGGCAGAAGUCUUCACGCUUUUUGAUGUAUUUCAGAACUGCAGUUUCCUCUGCUUGGAGCAACAGCGAAGUGGGCAGGGCAGUACGGAUUUAUUCUCUUACAUCUGCAAGCAGAGUUUGAACAUCAGACUGCACAGAUUGAGGGAGACAAUGCCAUCCUAUGGUUACCGCUAUAGGUUUCAGGGGUUUUCGGCGGCUUACCACUCUCUCCCAAAAUACAUCAUUCAGGAGGGUCCUCUUGAUGGGGCUGUCCAUAUCGGCAGACUGUGAUAUGGCCAUUUCUUGGAGAGACUCCUUCCCCUCCAGGAGACCGUCAAACAUGAUGACAAAACCACCCCAACGGGUGUUGCUGGGCAGCUUCAAUGUGGUGCUCUUAUUCUUCUCACGUUGCUUGGUGAGGUAGAUUGCUGCUAUAACUUGAUGACCCUUCAGAUACCUAACCAUUUCCUUGGCUCUCUUGUAGAGUGUAUCCAUUGUUUUCAGUGCCAUGAUGUCCUUGAGGAGCAGAUUCAAUGCAUGAGCAGCACAGCCAAUGGGUGUGAUGUGAGGGUAGGACUCUUCCACUUUAGACCAAGCCGCCUUCAUGUUCGCAGCAUUGUCACCAGUGCCUUCUGUGGUCCAAGGUCAUUGAUGACUGCCUUCAGCUCAUCUGCAAUGUAGAGACCGGUGUGUCUGUGCUCUUGUAGAAUACUGUGCAAAAUAGUACUAUUUUGUUCAUUUUUUGUACUUAUUUUGUACACAAUGUUGCUGCUACCGUCUCUUAUGACCGAAAAUAACUUCUGGACAUCAGAACUGGGAUUACUCACCACGAACUGGAAGAAGAUUUCUCCUUUAACGAGUCCAACGAGAAAGAUAUACUGCUCUCCUGGGAACAGGCCCAAAUCCCCGUUAUUUGGUGAAGAAAAGACAGAGGAAAAGAGGACGUGGAUUGGGCUGCCUUUUGAGAAUCCAUAGGCCAGCGAGUGAACUCCCACUGCCAUCCAUUCUACUUGCUAACACGCAUAUUGUAAAAUAAAAUCGAUGACCUACGAUUACAAUUAUCCUACCAACCGGACAUUAAGAACUGUAAUACAUUAUGUUUCACCAAGUCGUGGCUGAACGACGACACGGAUAAUAUAGAGGGAUUUUCAAUGCGCCGGCAGAACAGAGAAGCUACUAAGACGAGGGGUGGGGUUGUGUCUUUUUGUCAAUAACAGCUGGUGUGCGAUGUCUAAUAUUAAAGAGGUCUUGAGGUAUUGCUCGCCUGCAGUAGAGUACCUUAUGAUAAGCUGUAGACCACACUAUCUAUAUUAUUCGUAGCCGUCUAUUUACCACCACAGACCAAUGCUGGCACUAAGACCGCACUCAACCAACUCUAUAAGGCCAUAAGCAAACAAGAAAAUGCUCACCCUGGAGUGGCGUUCCUUGUGGCCGGGGGCUUUAAUGC
ensembl:lncRNA